rnacentral:lncRNA from 1 species
CUGCACUUAUUGGAAUAAAUUCCCUUUCUGCUUCUCAGUGCCAACUUUUAAAUCGUGGGCUUGGGGAGUGAAGAAUCCUAAGGUUUCCUUCCUCGUACUGAGAUGGGAUUGUUCCCUUGACCCCCUUCAUGGGUAGAAAUUGGAGUGGCUCCUUUCACUCAGCCGGCCUCUGGCCACUCCAGGCAAGAGGGAGCAGGCAAGCAAGCAAGUCCAGGAACUAGAGGGAAUGAAGGCUGAAACCAGCCAGUCGCUCCUCUCUGGUGGGAGCAGGCUCUGUGCCAGUUGGAAAGGCGAUGGUGCAGAAAGAAGACGAUCUUUCCCUAAGCCACACCUCUGAAGUUAUCCACGUCUAUCCAUAGUCUGCAACACUCAGCCACUCAUAUCCCCGACGUUCAGCAGCUUGGAUCCCCAAUGCCCAGCUGCUUGCAUGCUACUUCCUGCUGAAAGGGGACACUGUUUGCAGAAAAUGGCAAUCAGAUUCCUCCCAGAGAUUUACCUAAGGAUCCCCGGCAAAAGGGAGCCAUCGUCCGAGGCUCUGGCUGCCUGCCUAUUUGGAGCCCUGAUGGCCUCCAGGAGAGAGAAAAAAACAAGCUUUACAAGGUUAAAUAUGCAUGGAUCAAACGUGCAUUAUGCAAGGAAAGAAUUUAUUGCCAAAGAUUACAGAAAUAAGAAGUGAAAUAUACUAACAAGAUUGUACCCCAAGCUGUCUCACCCCGGUGAAAAAAAUUAAAUCUUGUAUGGGAGUGGUUACACUUUGAGAGAGAGAAC